CGCGCCAUUGUCGCCUUCUUCUUCUUCUGCAUUGCUGAGUGUCAACUGUAAGUACCGAUCCACCGUCGUCGUCGACAUGCCAGUUGUGGCUCCAUUGUUACCUUGGAGGAAUAAAACCAACGAACCUGGAGAUCUCACCCGCCAUUGUGAAUUGUGAGGCACCUGUAAAUAUAUGUUGGGAGCUUAAUUAGGGUGGUAAGGGAGUCAGUAGCGUGCAUCCAGGGGGCUUUGAGGCUCAUUAUGAGAUGAGAUGAGAUAUGUUGUUCCCCUGUUUAAGUUUUGUCUGUAAAAGAAACCAUUCUCUGGUUAUUGUGUUAUUGUAUCAGUGUAACUUGAGUUGUCUCAUGUGAUGAGCCAUCGCCUCGUUGAUCACUGAUAUGAUGAGAUGUGUUCUUCCCCCCGUUUAAGUCUUGUUGUAUUUGAUCAUUUGUUUAAUUGCCAUGUUUAAGUCUUGUUAUAUCUAUCAUCCUCUACUUGGAAUACACCAAGAAACUAUUUCCGCCUCAAAAUAAGUGUUGUGGUUUUAGUACAAUAGUGUGGUUUUAGUACGAUAGUGUUGUAUAAAAAAACAAGCAAGUGAAAUUAACGGAAACUAUAAUGUGUUGGAUAAUCAGCAACUGGUGUUCACUGAGGACCAAAGGCCAUUACGUAUACAUGUGUGGUUAAGUGUAGAAAGCCCCUUAUAUAAUGGGAUGUACAGAAAAGGGACUAUACAUAUCUAACACCCCCGUCAAACUCAUGGUGGAUCAACAACACUGGAUUUGGAGAGAAUAAAAUCAUGUUGCGCUCAAGUCUGUGCCUUCAUGUAGGAGUCUGCCAACUGUAACUCAGAGGGCACAUAGUGAAGAGCAAGAGUCUGAUCCUGCACAACAUCACGCAUAAAAUGGGCAUCCGCACCGAUGUGCUUGGUGAGCUCAUGCUUCACCGGGUCACAUGUAAUACUGAAAGCACCGGUACUGUCAGACAAUAAGGGAGUCGAGGUAGUAGCAGACACCCCAAAAUCCUCAAGUAACCACCGUAACCAGAUCACCAAAGCCGUUAACAUAGCCAUGACUCGCAACUCGGCCUCUAUACUAGAGCGAGAAACUGCAGUCUGUUUCUUUGUCUUUCAGGCAAUGAGAGAGCCACCAAAAAAGACACAGUAAGCAGAUAGCGAGCUCGAUCAGAGGGAUCACUAGCCCAGGUAGCAUCAGAGUAGGCCUGGAGCUCAAGGGAGCUGGAGCGGGGAAAGAAAAGGCGUUGAGGGAUCGUGCCAUGAAGAUAUCGUAGAACACGGAGGAGAUGACUAUAGUGGACAGAGGUGGGGGCUGAGACAAACUGACUCGGGAUGUGAACAUGAUAGGAGAUGUCAGGACGUGUAACAGUAAGAUAGACAAGGCUGCCAACGAGGUGACGAUAGCGAGUGGGAUUAGGAAGAGGGUCACCAUCAGAGGCACGAAGCUGAACGUUGAGCUCCAUAGGAGUCACAAUUGUGAGCUCAUCACCGAGAGCAGCGCGAGCAGGAAGAUCCGGAAUAUAUUUUUCUUGGGAGAUGUAGAAGCCAUCAGAGGUCGAGGAGAUCUCAAUCCCAAGAAAAUAGCGAAGUGGACCAAGAUUAGUCAUGAGGAACUGGUCACGAAGGCGGCCUUAACAAAGGCAAUGUAGUCAGAGUCGUCACCAGUGAUGAUCAUGUCAUCAACAUAGAGAAGGAGAAGAGUUUGACCACGAGGAGACAUGUGAACAAAUAACGCGGGAUCAUGAUCACUGGGCAAGAAACCAGCGGCAGUUACCAUAGAGGUGAAGCGCUCAAAUCAGGCGCGAGGGGCCUGUUUAAGACCAUAGAGGGAGCGGCGAAGUCUACAGACCAUACCAUCAGGGGCAUAGUACCCCGGUGGUGGCUGCAUAUAAACCUCCUCACGCAACUCGCCAUUAAAAAAGGCGUUCUGGACAUCAAGUUGAGAGAUAGAUCAAUGACGAACAGAAACCACAACAAGGAGAGUGCGAACAAUGGUCAUGUGGGUCACAGGAGCGAAUGUCUCAUCAUAAUCGCGUCCUUGCUCCUGCUGAAAACCACGAGCCACAAGACGAGCUUUGUAGCGCUCAAGAGAACCAUCGGAGCGAGUCUUAAUCUUGUAGACCCACUUGCAGGUGAUGGGACGAACACCGGAAGGGAGAGAAGCCAAAUCCCAUGUGCCAGAGCGCUCAAGGGCAGCAAGCUCUUCGGGCAUCGCAAGCGGCCAUUUAGGCUGAGUCAUGGCAGUUGUAAGGGCAUAUUUAUCCCCAAGGUGUUUUGGUGAUUGAUGACAAUGCUUUUGUGGACUAAUCAUGUGCGUUGAGAUUUUCAGAGAUUCAUCCUUUGGCACGAGACGAUUCCCUCCCCUUGGUGUUUUAUUCAAGACGGUGCAGCUCCUUCGUUUCUCUGUUGGGGGACUAGUUUCGUAGGAGUCACCGUACUAUCAGGGGGGAUCCGCUUUGAUAAGGCUAGGGUGGAAUCAACACGUACACAUCCUUAUCGCACCUGCUGAUCCUUCCCGCUUCAAUGGAGUUUUCCUUCCCUUCCUGGCUUGCCCUGUUUGGUCCCAGCGGUAGUACCGCGGGCCACAGCGGUAGUACCGCCGAAGCACAACAAGCGGUAGUACCGCUUCUCAGCGAUAGUACCGCUUGAUGUCUUCCGCCGUAGUAUCGAUGUGGCUCCGGGCUACUACCGCCUCGACUCGAGGCCUCGUUUUCUCGUGUCGGGUUCUGCGGCACUAGCUGGGGCAGUAGUGGCGGUAGUAUCGCUCUCGAGCGGUAGUACCGCCCUUACCACCGCGGUAGUACCGCUCUGGGUCCAGGACCUUGCUCCCCUCACGUGCACGGCAGUACCGCUAGGUGGCACGGUAGUACCGCUGGCUCAGCGGUAGUACCGCCCACCCAAGCGGUAGUACCGCUCUCCGCGGGGCUGCUUGGGGGGCCAGUGAUCUCGGCGGCGCGCCAUUGUCGCCGCCUUCUUCUGCAUUGUUGAGUGUCAACUAUAAGUACCAAUCCACCGUCGUCGUCGACAUGCCAGUUGUGGCUUCAUUGUUACCUUGGAGGAAUAAAACCAACGAACCUGAAGAUCUCACCCGCCAUUGUGAAUUGUGAGGCACCUGUAAAUACAAGUUGGGAGCUUAAUUAGGGUGGUAAGGGAGUCAGUAGCGUGCAUCCAGGGGGCUUUGAGGCUCAUUAUGAGAUGAUGAGAUGUGUUGUUCCCCCUGUUUAAAUUUUGUCUGUAAAAGAAACCAUUCUCUGGUUAUUGU
rnacentral:lncRNA from 1 species